GGCCUUAUAGCUCAGUGGUAGAGCAUACGAUUGCAGUCUAGCUGAUAUCGUGCGGUCGCGUGUUCGAACCACGCUGAGGCCU
rnacentral:tRNA from 1 species